CACUUUGGCCGGUUGGAAAGCAAUUUGUAGGUAGGUAAGAGGAGAAGCAGGGAGACCAAAUGUAGGUUCCAGGUGCGGUGCAGAAGAGAACUGCAAAUGGCUUGGCCUGGGCUGGUAGUGCAGGAAGUGGUGAGACACGGGCAGAUCCGCGCUUACUUACUCUGAAGGUAGAGAGCAGGAAGUGCUGACGGGCUGGCUGUUCAGUGUGAAAGAGGAGGCUGAGCAGUGAGGAACGGCAGGGGUCUAAGGAGGGGCGGGCUGCCUUGGGCUGGCAUGGCAGAGGGGUGCAUGGCACGCAUUCAAGAGGUCUGCUUCAGACACUUCAACUUAGGGAUUUAUAUCGAGAUGUCUCCAUUUCAUCCUCACUUCAACAUCACAGCCAUAUUAAGCUGUCUAACAUAAAAAUUUCAGCAUGUUAUUCCUCUGUCCACAAACCUUUGAUAGAAUCUCACAGCUUAUUGCACGAACUUUGAACUCCCAAGCCUAGAAGUCAAAGUUUUUCACAAUGAUCUCUCUCCCCAACUGUCCUCUUAUUUUUCUGUAUUUCUCACAAUGCCUGGGAAAUAAGAGUAUAUUCAAUUAAAUGUUUGGUAAAUGAAUAAAAAUAUUUGUGUUCAUCCUUCACCUUAUUCAAGAGUCACACUAAAGCUGACCUCCUCAAUGAACUCUCCCAAUCGCACUGGUUAUACUACUCUUUCUCUACUCUUUUCUCCUACCCAGCAGUAUGUUGGUAAAUGUUUAACAGCUCUCUGAAAAACAAAGCCCUCAGCUGUAGCACGUGCUGUAUCUGUGAUGUAAACACUCCCACCAUGGAUGACUGCAAGCCACCGCCGUGAUGACCCUGAAUAUGAAGCUGAGAAGUCUUAAGAAAGCAUUGUCAUCCACUAUGAUUCAGAUUAAACCUAUUAACUCUGGCCUCUAUCCUACUAUUCUACUGACAUUACAGGCAACUUCAUAAUUCCAUCUUCCCGAACCUUUUAAUCUUUUUGAGC